UACGGGGGGGGCAAGCGUUGUUCGGAAUUACUGGGCGUAAAGGGCUCGUAGGUGGCCAACUAAGUCAGACGUGAAAUCCCUCGGCUUAACCGGGGAACUGCGUCUGAUACUGGAUGGCUUGAGUUCGGGAGAGGGAUGCGGAAUUCCAGGUGUAGCGGUGAAAUGCGUAGAUAUCUGGAGGAACACCGGUGGCGAAGGCGGCAUCCUGGACCGACACUGACACUGAGGAGCGAAAGCCAGGGGA
rnacentral:rRNA from 1 species